UACGUAGGGUGCAAGCGUUGUCCGGAAUUAUUGGGCGUAAAGAGCUUGUAGGCGGUUUGUCGCGUCUGCUGUGAAAUUUCGGGGCUCAACCCCGAACUGCAGUGGGUACGGGCAGACUAGAGUGUGGUAGGGGAGACUGGAAUUCCUGGUGUAGCGGUGAAAUGCGCAGAUAUCAGGAGGAACACCGAUGGCGAAGGCAGGUCUCUGGGCCAUAACUGACGCUGAGAAGCGAAAGCAUGGGGAGCGAACAGG
rnacentral:rRNA from 1 species